UACGUAGGGUGCGAGCGUUGUCCGGAAUUACUGGGCGUAAAGCGCACGUAGGCGGCUUUGUAAGUUAGAGGUGAAAGCCCGGGGCUCAACCCCGGAACAGCCUUUAAGACUGCAUCGCUUGAACGUCGGAGAGGUGAGUGGAAUUCCGAGUGUAGAGGUGAAAUUCGUAGAUAUUCGGAAGAACACCAGUGGCGAAGGCGGCUCACUGGACGACUGUUGACGCUGAGGUGCGAAAGCGUGGGGAGCAAACAGG
rnacentral:rRNA from 1 species